rnacentral:rRNA from 1 species
UACGGAGGGUGCAAGCGUUAAUCGGAAUUACUGGGCGUAAAGGGUGCGUAGGUGGUUUGGUAAGCUAUCUGUAAAAUCCCCGGGCUUAACCUGGGCAUGUCAGAUAUAACUGCUGAACUCGAGUAUAGGAGAGGGUAGUGGAAUUUCCGGUGUAGCGGUGAAAUGCGUAGAGAUCGGAAGGAACACCAGUGGCGAAGGCGGCUACCUGGCCAGAUACUGACACUGAGGCACGAAAGCGUGGGGAGCAAAC